rnacentral:lncRNA from 1 species
CGCAAAGAACAAGUGUAAUAUAUAAAUUAUGUCGUUUUUAGUAUUGAUGUACUAUUGUUUUAUUUUUUUAUCGUCAUUAAGUCUUUGACCAAAACCUCGACAUUCGUCAUCAAAAAAAUUUUGCCCGCACUGAACUAAAAUCUUGGCUCCGCCCCUGAGGGUGACCCCAAAAUAAAAUUGUCCUGUAUUCGCGUGUUAAUUAAAGAUAAAAGAAAGUUAUCAAACAGCAGGUCAAAUCAAUCAGCGGAGCACUUGCUUCGUGUCAGAAAGCUUAUAAUUCUUUAAAACUUCAAUUUUUUUUUUUUUUUUCGAACUCAAUUUUAAUCACAAAUUUUUUCUCGACUUUUAAUCACACAUUCUCUAAAUAAUCACUAUCCAAAAUCUAUUUCCCAGAAAAAGAAACUCAAACAGAGCAUUGACAUUUCACCCGUUGCAUCUAUCGUCAUAUCUACCAUAAGUCUAAUAAAAUCAAAUAGUGCUUGCAAAACGAAACUAUUCGUUUUCAUUAUUUGAGACUAACUCAUUUAAAAGCAAAUGUUAAAGAAGGAUUACAAUUAUUUAUUUAUAUUUUAUUUUUUACUGACACUCGAAACCUUCAUAAAUAGGUCAAAUUGAAAAUUGAAUGCAUGACAUUUGAUGCUCCCGUUAAACUAAAAAGUCUAAAAAGAUGAGUUAUAUUCAGUUCUCUAAGAAGUAGUUAUUGUGUGAAGAUUGUUAGAAAAACUUAGAAAAUUAAUUAAAUCACACAUUCAAAACAUUUUAUAGUUAUUAAAUUGGUAGUAUGUUCUGAACUCUCCAGCUCGUCAUGAUGGAUGACAUGCAAGGGUAACAACAAAAACAAUGCUUCUUAUAUUCAAAGGCUUAAGCCAAUGAAAGAACAUCGAAACCUAUCAAACUCCACUUGACCGACAAAGGUAGGUCGAAUGCAUCAAUAGAGUACCUCCUCUACUCUAGAAAAAUAUCGAAUCUUGUCAUGUGUACAAAUAGACUUAUCCAUUAACACUUGAGUGGGGAAUGGGUGAUUUCAAUAGGCUUAACUGGUAGAUUUUUUUUUUCCUUUUCUUUUUCUUUGUUUUUACUAUCUUAAUAACAUUUACUAAAAGCCAAAUAAUAACAAAUACUUGGUGCAAACAAAUCUACUCAUUUUGAAAAUUGGCCAUGUUUGAUUCACUAAUAUUUGGAAAAAUACAUUCUUAAACAGAUUUGACAUUAUUUCAACAAUACAUUUUUCAAUGAAAUAAUAGUACACGCAAAUCUAAAAUUUUUCCUUAUUUUUUAACCACACAUUUCCCAUCAGCACAUUAUUCAAAAAUACUUUUUUUUUUCCAAAAUAAUGUGGCUCAAACAAGGACUAUAUACCAACUCAUUUAAAAGCAAAUGAUAAAGAAAGAUUACAUUUAUUUAUUUGUAUUUUAUUUUCUUGUGUAGGUUGGACUCAUUUUUUAAUGAUCCAACAUUCGGAACCUGAAACUCGAAUCCAUGAUCUUAGUGUGCUCGAAUAGCAGGUUAAACUUUAAAAAAAGAUAAAAAAAAUAAGAAAAUAAAAACUCAUACCAGUUGUUGUGAAAGGAUAAGAAGAACGUUAACAUAUACUAUACAAUGAUGCAACGAACAAAAAAAAUAUGAUUUCAUGAUAAGAAAAGAUAAUAAAGACAUUCAAUUUUCUAAGUAGUAGUUAGUGUCUGAUCAUAUAGAAGUCAUAGGAAGAAAAUAGAUUAAAUCACACGUUCAAAACAUUUCAUUGCUAUUAUAUAAGUGUGUGCCAGUUCACUGAACACAAGCUUUGAUAUUGUGGAUCACAAGCAAAAAAUAAAAAUAAAAAAACUUUCUUAUGUUUAAGCCAAGGAAAGUUCAAAGAUAAGCUAUCAACGCCACUUGUCCGAUGAGGAACUUUCUAUUUUUUCUCUCUUAUUGUUGUUGUUGUUAUUAUUAUUAUUAUUUUUAUGACGAAUAUGCUUCAUCAAUCUUUACAUCUGCUAAAAGUCCAACAAUAAAAUAAUGGAAACGAGGAACCUCGCUUGUUCUAGACAGGAGUCUCAAAAUUUCAUCUAAACUUGACUGUUGUUUCUGUCAAAACAAAGAAAAUAUGAAUUUAUAAUUAAAAUAAAAUAAAGUCAUAUUCAAUUUUCAAGAUGUCAACAAGAAUAAAAUUAAAUGCCCAAACUUAAAGUCAGGGCCACGUCUCGUCGACCCUCCAAAAAGUUAAUUAGGUAGUAAAACAGUUCAUAGGGAGUUAGAAGUAAGCAAAGUCAAAGGCAGGUUAAAACUCACACCACUCCUCCAAUAGGGAUGCACUUGGCGCCCCUGAAUUUGAGCUCGCUCUCUCUCUUCACAUGGUGUAUAAUCAAUUAUUAUUGAGGUUCUUGGUGAGCUUCUGAAAGUGAGUCCUUGUGAAUUUGAAGUAAGAAGAAUCUAUAUAAUCUCAAGUAAUAAUACUUCGUGAUUGACUGAUUGUUCAUAGAAGUUGGGUCAGUUGUGGAGCUGUUGAAGUCUGGAGAUUCAAUUAAUCACUCUUAAGCUAAUUUAUUUAGAAUUUAAAAUUGAGUUAAAAAAAAUCCUAUUUCUUUUCCAACGAUUGAGGUUACAAAUCUCGUUUUAUAUACGAGAAUUCUAUACUACUUAAUUAGUAUUUAAUUUUAUCUAAUGGAAUGAUAACCCGAUACAUACUUGCACAAGUCUCAUAACCAUGCUUUCUAAGGAGAGUGAAGUAAAGAGCACAAAAAUGGAUAUCAUCCUUCAUUUUCUCCAGUUUUUUUGAACAUAUAAUGCUGUCGAGGGCAAUAUUUUGAAAACCAACCAGGCAUCGAUUUAGAAAAGAUGGUUUUUGGGCAAUUUUCAAAAAUUUAAACCUCUGAAACCAAAAAUAGGUCCAAGGUUUUUAUAAAAUCACGAGUCAGUGGUUUUUAAUUGAUUUCCUAAAAUAUGUUUUUUCAUUUUUAUUUUUUUAUUUUAUUUUAUUUUAUUUUUUUGCCUAACCGGGCCGGCUUUGGGUUCGAACAGGCUGGACAUGACCUGUUCUAUUUACAUUGGUCAAGGACACAUUUUUUACUUUUUUACAAACGGUAUGCCUAACUUAGGCAUAGAAUACUGUUAAUUGAUCCAAGAACAACCAAUGGCUCCAUACUUUCAUCGUCAAGCAUUUACCUCACUUCUUUUUUCAACUUCUUUAUACUACCCGACUUUAGAAGUCCCCUCUAUUAGAUGCAAUACAAGAUAUAUGAACAAGAUAAAAAGAAAA